rnacentral:rRNA from 1 species
UGGGGAAUAUUGCACAAUGGAGGAAACUCUGAUGCAGCGACGCCGCGUGAGUGAUGAAGUAGUUCGCUAUGUAAAGCUCUAUCAGCAGGGAAGAUAGUGACGGUACCUGACUAAGAAGCUCCGGCUAAAUACGUGCCAGCAGCCGCGGUAAUACGUAGGUGGCAAGCGUUGUCCGGAAUUACUGGGUGUAAAGGGAGAGUAGGCGGGAUUGCAAGUCCGUUGUUAAAUCUAUCGGCUUAACCGGUAGCUGCGGCGGAAACUGUAGUUCUUGAGUGAAGUAGAGGCAGGCGGAAUUCCUAGUGUAGCGGUGAAAUGCGUAGAUAUUAGGAGGAACACCAGUGGCGAAGGCGGCCUGCUGGGGCUUUAACUGACGCUGAGGCUCGAAAGUGUGGGGAGC